UACGGAGGAUGCGAGCGUUAUCCGGAUUUAUUGGGUUUAAAGGGUGCGUAGGCGGGAUCCCAAGUCAGCGGUAAAAAUGCGGUGCUCAACGCCGUCGAGCCGUUGAAACUGGCGUUCUUGAGUGGGCGAGAAGUAUGCGGAAUGCGUGGUGUAGCGGUGAAAUGCAUAGAUAUCACGCAGAACUCCGAUUGCGAAGGCAGCAUACCGGCGCCCUACUGACGCUGAGGCACGAAAGCGUGGGUAUCGAACAGG
rnacentral:rRNA from 1 species